ACGAACGCUGGCGGCGUGCUUAACACAUGCAAGUCGAACGGUGAAGCGCCUUCCUUUUUGGUGGGUGUGGAUGAGUGGCGAACGGGUGAGUAACACGUGAGUAACCUGCCCCCUUCUUCUGGAUAACCGCAUGAAAGUGUGGCUAAUACGGGAUAUUCUGGGUCUGUCGCAUGAUGGGUCUGGGAAAGAUAUUGUUUCGGUGGGGGAUGGGCUCGCGGCCUAUCAGCUUGUUGGUGGGGUGAUGGCCUACCAAGGCGGUGACGGGUAGCCGGCCUGAGAGGGUGGACGGUCACACUGGGACUGAGACACGACCCAGACUCCUACGGGAGGCAGCAGUGGGGAAUAUUGCACAAUGGGCGCAAGCCUGAUGCAGCGACGCCGCGUGAGGGAUGGAGGCCUUCGGGUUGUGAACCUCUUUCGCCAGUGAAGCAGGCCUGCCUCGUUUGUGGGCGGGUUGACGGUAGCUGGAUAAGAAGCGCCGGCUAACUACGUG
rnacentral:rRNA from 1 species